UGUGGCACUCCUUGUGAAAGAUCUUUCAUGAUCCGAGUCAUUAUUUUUUGCAUUAUUUGAAAUGCAUUAUUAUUACAUGAGCAUCUCUCUUGGUUACGGUUGUGAAAUAUGCAUUAAUUCUAGUUGGUUCCAUUAUGUUUAUAUAUAUAUAUAUAUAUAUAUAUAUAUAUAGGUCAUCUAGUCAUGUCAUUUGUUAGGUUGUUAACUGAAAGCUGAUCAGCAUUCAUGCGUAUACAAUAAGUAUAGCCGAAAAAACAGAAGGCUC
rnacentral:lncRNA from 1 species